rnacentral:rRNA from 1 species
CAGUCGCCGCGGUAAUACGUAGGGUGCGAGCGUUAAUCGGAAUUACUGGGCGUAAAGCGUGCGCAGGCGGUUUUGUAAGACAGGCGUGAAAUCCCCGGGCUCAACCUGGGAAUGGCGCUUGUGACUGCAAAGCUAGAGUGCGGCAAAGGGGGAUGGAAUUCCGCGUGUAGCAGUGAAAUGCGUAGAUAUGCGGAGGAACACCGAUGGCGAAGGCAAUCCCCUGGGCCUGCACUGACGCUCAUGCACGAAAGCGUGGGGAGCAAACAGGAUUAGAUACCCGUGUAGUCCCUGUCUCUUAUAC